rnacentral:rRNA from 1 species
CGCGUAGGAAUCUACCUAGAUGUGGGGGAUAACAUGAAGAAAUUCAUGCUAAUACCGCAUAUGCCCCACGGGGUAAAGAGGGCCUCUUCUUGAAAGCUCUUGCAUUUAGAUGGGCCUGCGUCGGAUUAGCUUGUUGGCGGGGUAAUGGCCCACCAAGGCGACGAUCCGUAGCUGGUCUGAGAGGAUGAUCAGCCACAUCGGGACUGAGACACGGCCCGA